rnacentral:pre_miRNA from 1 species
CUUUGUGUUCUUCCACAGCUUUCUUGAACUGCAUCUGUUGUGUGGAGGUAUGAUUUCCAUUUCCGGUAGUUUUUGCGGUUCAAUAAAGCUGUGGGAAGAUACAGAUA